GUAUGCUGAAGUACCUGGACCAACCCUCAUUGACUUAAAAUACAGAUUGAACACUGGGUACGAGGAGCUUGCUGCGGCACUGUCUGCAAGGGGCUUCGGUACGUUCCCUGGCUGUAUUGUUGGUGGUCUCUUGGUUGAUAAGUUUAGCGGCUGGAGCCAUUUAAUGGUUGCAUUAACCCUGGAUGUUGCAGCUGUUGCUGUAGUGUUAAUGCCAUGGGUUCCAAACGUGCAGUACAUUUGGGUGCUCUGUUUUGUCAGCGGAUUUGUCUAGGCUAUACAUAACGCAGCUGGAACCCGCAUAUCUUUAAACAUUUGGAAGGAUAAAUCCGCUUCACCAUUAAUACUGGUACACCUUGGAUAUGGACUUGGGUCUUUCCUGACCCCGCUAUACUCGGAUCCUUUUCUUGGAGAAAUGAUUCAAAAUACUCGGGAUUCGGAUAUUACUUUAAAUGAUACUAAUAAUUUUAGAACAACAUCUAUUUCCCCAGACCGUUCAGAAGAAACAUAUUAUAUUACAAAUUCAAAAAUUGAAUAUGCAUAUGCAAUUUCAGGAAUUGCAACAGCAAGCCUGUCUGUUGCGUACUUUGUAUUUCAAAUGAUCGAAAACAAAUUUAUCAAACAAGCUUCUGAUGUUAAUUCGGUACAAAAUAAAAAGGUUGAAAAUGAACUUCGCAAUGAAAUAGCAAUAAGAAAAGAGAAGGAAUUGGCAAGAGACGAAGAGUCAGAACUGGGAGUGAAAAUAAGGGAUGGAAAGUAUAAUAAAUUGAAAGCAAUGCUUCAAAUGAUAAACCCAGCAUCAUGUGCCAAAGGCAGAUCAGCUAAAGUUCUCCUCGACAGAUGGCACGAUGAUAAACACAAGUUAUUGGAUAAGCUUUUCCUCAGGUCGCUUUCUGUUCUUCGUAUUGGCAAAAUGGGUAUCUGUUAAAGUUCUUAUUUUCGUCGAAACGUUCGGCGCUAUGUGUUGUGCGGUGGUUAUGGCUAUAUUUGCGGAUGAUAAUUCGAUUGCACUUUGGGCUCUUAUUCAACCAAUCGCGUUCUUUUGGGGUCCAAUGUGGCCAACCGGUGUUGCAUGGACCGAUUAUCAUAUGGAAUUGACAGGUAUGGGAAUGGCAUCCCAAAUGCUUGGAGCGUCUGUUGGCAGCAUAUUUCAUAUGCGUUUAAUUGGUUACCUCUACGAUAAUAUUGGACCAGUUACAUACUUAUAUCAUGUGGCUGGAAGUGCUGUGUUUGGAUUUUUGCUGGCUGUAGCUUUAGAUAUAAUUGGUGCUAGACAUGGAAAUAGGUUUGUUCAGGAUGCUAAUGAUUGUAAAGAGAAACAAAACGAUACUAAUGACGAACAGAACCCUGUGACAGAUGAGACGAUAGAUAAAACAACAGAUGGAACCACUUUGAAUGGUAACACGAUCGUUACAAGACUUUAGUUCUUUUACGCAUGAUGAAAGUUGAAAUAGUAAAGAUAUUUCCAAGAUAAAAUGAUAAACUAUAUAUAAUGUAAUGGAUGUGACGAAAACGUUAUCGGUUUGUAUAACUUCCUCAGCCAAGUAUUCUGUGCUAUAAAUUGUAAUAUCUCCACAACGAUUUAGUGAAAUGGCUUGUAUUUCUUGAUUAAAAAGAGUGUGGCAUUCAUAACUUAGACAAAAUGUUAUCAUAUCAAAUAACGUUGCAACAUAUAUCUGACCAAUAUUCUAUAAUAUUCAACAGCGGUUAUGAAAUGAGCUUCCCUUAAGACGAACAUUGGGUUUCAAAAUAUUUGAAACAGCAAAUAUAAAUAAUCAUAAAACACUAUUAUAUAAGUUAACAAGUACAGAAAUAAAAAGAAGUGAAGAGGAACUAUAGUCCCAGUCCUGGGGUGAUCUUUCGUAAAUAAGGCGCGUUUUUUUUCAAUCAAUUCAAGUAGAUACCUUUUAUAAACAUUUUUGAAGUUUCCCUAACGGUGAUCAGGCACAUUUAAGCAAAUUUCCUUUUUUUUUUUCUCUUUUCUUAUAUAUUUUUGAGAGAUUUAUCUAUGACACAAAAAAGGCCAGUUACACAGAGAUAGAUCCUUAUUAGAAAUGUAUGUCUUACCGAUUUUUAUUACUUUAUUAAGUGCUAAGUGAACACAAGUAGUCGUAAAUGAUCAGAUGUUACCAACAAAUCCGUUACUUGAAUCUGAUUAACCACCUUUAACUGAGUUAUACAAUUUUAAAUGUAAACCAUAUCUCAUCAAACAUUAUUUCUCAGUUAGAUACAGUUCAGAAAAGCAAACAUCAAAUAUAUUUGACCCUAUCAUAUGUGUUUAACAUGUUCAGUCUUUCAGCCAAACCGAAUCAACCUAAAUAUUAAGAAGUAAAACUGCACCACCUAAUAAAUCUAAAGUUCGAAAGAGAGGUUUUGAUAAUUGCAGUAAAUGGAAAGAUACGCUACAAUUUUGGUUCAACUGUUAAAUUAAAUCAACGGAAAAUACUGCAAAGAGAAAUUCAGAUCAAGAAUUAUAUUCGUGUCACGAAUGAGUUUUAUUUGCUUCGUAAGCUCUGCCGAUACGUCAUCCUGGUAUGUCUUUUUAAAGUGACACUUAUGCAUUAUUUAUGACUAUGUGUACUUUUAACUGUUAUCUUUUCUGAAUGCAAAAUAGGCGAGAUAUUUAUUUUAAACUUUGUAAUAUGUGCAUAUUUACAAUUUAACUAUCUCACGCUCUCAACGGAGUCAUUUAUCUGCAGUGGCCAAAUUAUUAACAAGUGCAGUGCAACCUCUGUAGAGCAACACCUUAUGGAAGGUACAAAUAUUGGCUGUUAUGUAGAGGUUGUUGUUCUGGAGAGGUAAAUUUGAUAAUAUAUUUUAGCUUAGAGAAAAUUUUAUGAUGUUGCUAUAGAGAAAUUUUUGCUUAAGAGGGGGCCGCUCUGGAAAGGUUGUACUGUACAUUUAAAUUAUAUUGCAACAAGAUUGCCGUGUAUGCAAACGCAGUCAAGCUACAGGGCAAAGAAAUAGAAGUUCUAUAAAUAGGAGCCCUCGUAUUCGUUUGGUUGAUAAUGGUGAGUUUUAAAAUAUGCAUUUCUUCUCUUACACGCCAUUUUAUUGUAAAAACUAUGUAAAUCAGAGAAAAUUGAUUUUACCCGUUUUAAAUUACCACAACCUUCUCUCUUAUGGGAAUAUCAAAAUGUAUGUAAAAAUGUUA
rnacentral:lncRNA from 1 species